rnacentral:rRNA from 1 species
CCCAGACUCCUACGGGAGGCAGCAGUGGGGAAUAUUGGACAAUGGGCGAAAGCCUGAUCCAGCAAUGCCGCGUGAGUGAUGAAGGCCUUAGGGUUGUAAAGCUCUUUUACCCGGGAUGAUAAUGACAGUACCGGGAGAAUAAGCCCCGGCUAACUCCG